UACGUAGGGGCCUAGCGUUGUCCGGAUUUAUUGGGCGUAAAGAGCUCGUAGGCGGUUUGGUAAGUCGGGUGUGAAAUCUCCACGCUCAACGUGGAGGGGCCACCCGAUACUGCCAUGACUGGAGUCCGGUAGGGGAGUGUGGAAUUCCCAGUGUAGAGGUGAAAUUCGUAGAGAUUGGGAAGAACACCGGUGGCGAAGGCGGCCAACUGGACCGGCAUUGACGCUGAUGAGCGAAAGCCAGGGGAGCAAACGGG
rnacentral:rRNA from 1 species